GACGAACGCUGGCGGCGUGCUUAACACAUGCAAGUCGUACGGUAAGGCCCUUUCGGGGGUACACGAGUGGCGAACGGGUGCGUAACACGUGAGUAACCUGCCCACAACUUUGGGAUAACGCUAGGAAACUGGUGCUAAUACUGGAUAUGUGCCCCUGCUGCAUGGUGGGGGUUGGAAAGCUCCGGCGGUUGUGGAUGGACUCGCGGCCUAUCAGCUUGUUGGUGGGGUAGUGGCCUACCAAGGCGGCGACGGGUAGCCGGCCUGAGAGGGUGACCGGCCACAUUGGGACUGAGAUACGGCCCAGACUCCUACGGGAGGCAGCAGUGGGGAAUAUUGCACAAUGGGCGCAAGCCUGAUGCAGCAACGCCGCGGGCGGGAGGACGGCCUUCGGGUUGUAAACCGCUUUCAGCAGGGACGAAGCUUUUUGUGACGGUACCUGCAGAAGAAGCACCGGCUAACUACGUG
rnacentral:rRNA from 1 species